UGGUGCCAGCAGCCGCGGUAAUUCCAGCUCCAAUAGCGUAUGCUAAAGUUGUUGCGGUUAAAAAGCUCGUAGUCGGAUUUUACCCUUUACAUUUAAAGAAGUCGCGUCUGCCGGGAAGGUAUGCAUGUGACUUCAAAGGGUAUUUUGUUUCUGGAAUGUUCACAUAUGUACUUGAUUGGAUGUAUGUAAAAGGAGGGUGGGGGGCUUCGGUCUUCCGCUCGCCCGAACUUCUAGACUUUUACUGUGAAAAAAUUAGAGUGUUCAACGCAGGCUUCAUAUGCCAUUGAAUAUUUUAGCAUGGGAUAAUAGAAUAGGAUCUUUUCCAUAUUUUAUUGGUUUCCUUGAGAAAGAUAAUGAUUAAUAGGGAUAGUUGGGGGCGUUCAUAUUUAGUUGUCAGAGGUGAAAUUCUUGGAUUUACGAAAGAUGAACUUAUGCGAAAGCAUUCGCCAAGGAUGUUUUCAUUGAUCAAGAACGAAAGUUAGGGGAUCGAAGACGAUUAGAUACCGUCGUAGUCUUAACCAUAAACGAUGGCAGCCAGGGAUUGGAAGAAGUAUCAUGGAUGACUCCUCCAGCACCUUGUGAGAAAUCAUAAGCUUUUGGCCUCCGGGGGGAGUACAGUCACAAGGCUGAAACUUAAAGGAAUUGACGGAAGGGCGCACAAGAAGUGGAGCCUGCGGCCUAAUUUGACCCAACACGGGAAAACUUACCAGGGUAAGAUAACAGGAGGAUUGACAGAUUGAUAGCUCUUUCUUGAUUUGUUAGUUGGUGGUGCAUGGCCGUUCUUAGUUGGUGGAGUGAUUUGUCUGGUUGAUUCCGAUAACGAACGAGACCUUGACCUACUAAAUAGUUGAAGGAAUGAUCUAAUACGGGUGAAGCAUGGCUAUUGGGUUGAGUUGGGCAACUGGCUCUCCCAAUUAAAGUGUGAAUCCUUGAUUCUAUUCCUUUUAUUACUUCUUAGAGGGACUACUAGAAACAGAAGCUAGUGGAAGUACGAGGCAAUAACAGGUCUGUGAUGCCCUUAGAUAUCCUGGGCCGCACGCGCGCUACACUGAUGAGUUCAAUAAGUACACAUUCUUUGUAAAUCCUUGGCCGGAAGGUCUGGGUAAUCUUUCAAAGCUCAUCGUGCUGGGGAUAGAUCUUUGCAAUUCUAGAUCUUGAACGAGGAAUUUCUUGUAAGCGUGAGUCAUUAGCUCGCGUUGAAUACGUCCCCGCCCUUUGUACACACCGCCCGUCGCUUCUACCGAUUGAAUGGUCCGGUGAGAACUCGGGAUUGCGUCUCGGUUCGAUGGGUUUACUCAUCUGCCAGAUGCGAGAUCUUGGCCAAACCUUAUCAU
rnacentral:rRNA from 1 species